UUUAGAUUGUCAGCACUUGCCUUAAUUAAGUAUUGACAUGAUGCUCUAUCCACAGUCUGGAGUCAAGUAGAGUCAUGUUCUAUAGCGACUUAUGUUGUCCUCAUCUGAUUAUUGGAGUAUUACAAAAUGAUUACCAUACAAAAUGAAAGUAUCUCCAAUCAUUUGUCUUUUACAUCCAUGAAUACACAAACUUUUUGAUGGAUAUUACUUCUGUCAAGUACAAAGAGAAGACUACUUUCAUCGAGCCAAGCCUUACAAGGACCAUCCUACCAUUGCAAGAAGCUGAAAAUGGAUUUUAGUGUAGUAAUACCGGUUAUCUUCCUUGAGGAGGCAAAUAAUGCACAUUACAACUCAAUUGACCUCAGGGCUUAUAGGAAGUCACAUAUUCAUGAUGGAGCAGCAGGUGAGUCAAGUUUGGAGUUGGAAAGAGGUUGACCUUCUUUUGCUAAUACCUAUUGUUUACUUCAAGUUAUCAAGAAAAAAUUCAUUUCAAUCCUGGUGACACUGGCUUUAAUGUAGUCUUGAGCGGCAGGAUCCCCAAACUAAAGUUUGCAAAAAUUGAAGAGUGUCUUAUUCAGCUAUACGUUGGGAUCAAUGGUUACCGAGGCAACUCGAGGUAUGAUUCUUCAAGGUGUUGAACUGUUUUAUACCACUGCCACUGCUCUGGACCUCAAGACCAUGGAUUAGAUUCGGGUGAUCACUAGAGGAGAGUCAUGCAAGGCCACGCUGGAGCUAAUAUUAUGAGCUAUUAGGC